rnacentral:tRNA from 1 species
GGCCGGUUCGCUCAGUCAAUUGAGCGUGACACUAGCAAUGCCAAGGUCACGGGUUCGAUUCCCGUUCAGUCCU